rnacentral:rRNA from 1 species
CAUGAGCAGGUUGAAAGUGCCGUAACAGGCACCGGAGGACCGAACCCACUGUCUUUGAAAAGCCAGGGGAUGACUUGUGGAUAGGGGUGAAAGGCUAAUCAAACUCGGUGAUAGCUGGUUCUCCCCGAAAGCUAUUUAGGUAGCGCCUCGGACGAACACCAUUGGGGGUAGAGCACUGUUUCGGCUAGGGGGUCAUCCCGACUUACCAAACCGAUGCAAACUCCGAAUACCAAUGAGUACUAUCCGGGAGACAGACUGCGGGUGCUAACGUCCGUAGUCAAGAGGAAAACAAUCCAGACCGCCAGCUAAGGCCCCAAAAUUAUAGUUAAGUGGGAAACGAUGUGGGAAGGCAUAGACAGCUAGGAGGUUGGCUUAGAAGCAGCCAUCCUUUAAAGAAAGCGUAAUAGCUCACUAGUCGAGUCGGCCUGCGCGGAAGAUGUAACGGGGCUCAAACCAGGUACCGAAGCUACGGGUAUCACUUAGGUGAUGCGGUAGAGGAGCGUUCUGUAAGCCUGUGAAGGUGAGUUGAGAAGCUUGCUGGAGGUAUCAGAAGUGCGAAUGCUGACAUGAGUAACGACAAUGCGAGUGAAAAACUCGCACGCUGAAAGACCAAGGGUUCCAGUCCAACGUUAAUCGGGGCUGGGUGAGUCGACCCCUAAGGCGAGGCCGAAAGGCGUAGUCGAUGGGAACGGGGCAAAUAUUCCCCGGCCAG